rnacentral:rRNA from 1 species
CCUACGGGCGGCAGCAGUGGGGAAUAUUGGACAAUGGGCGAAAGCCUGAUCCAGCCAUGCCGCGUGUGUGAAGAAGGCCUUCGGGUUGUAAAGCACUUUCAGUGGGGAAGAAAGCCUUGGGGCUAAUACCCUCGAGGAAGGACAUCACCCACAGAAGAAGCACCGGCUAACUCCGUGCCAGCAGCCGCGGUAAUACGGAGGGUGCGAGCGUUAAUCGGAAUUACUGGGUGUAAAGCGCGCGUAGGCGGUCUGAUAAGCCGGUUGUGAAAGCCCCGGGCUCAACCUGGGAACGGCAUCCGGAACUGUCAGGCUAGAGUGCAGGAGAGGAAGGUAGAAUUCCCGGUGUAGCGGUGAAAUGCGUAGAGAUCGGGAGGAAUACCAGUGGCGAAGGCGGCCUUCUGGACUGACACUGACGCUGAGGUGCGAAAGCGUGGGUAGCAAACAGGAUUAGAUACCCAAGUAGUC